AGCAGUUGGAUACUAAGAGAAAAAACAGGAAAAUCUACAUGAACGUUUCAGUAAACAUCUGCAGGUGGUAGAACACAAAAGAAAAACAAGCCACCACUUAAUCAGAACCACCUCUGGGCAAAGGAGGAAAGCCUGCUCCUAGCAGAGAGGCUUGAAUGGGCAAGAGCUGCAGCUGGUAACCGAGGGAUUCCUACGAGGACACACCCUGGCUUUUUUCGUUUCAUAUCAAUGUUCCUGGGAAUGUUUUUCUCAGAGCCGUGGAUUCAUAACAUGUGAUCGUCUUCCUCCCAUAUUCCAACCAGCAAUAUGAGGAGGUAGAACGCCACGAUGGCUAUCAGCCCUUCCACCUGGAAAGUGCUGGCUCCUGACAUCCUGCGCCACUUAAAGAAGAAGUACAUUGAAAUCGCGAGUUCACCUGUGGUUGCCAACAAGCGUCCUUUCCAUCACUCUAUUUCUAUUCAACAACUG